rnacentral:tRNA from 1 species
CGUAGCUCAACGGCAGAGCAUCCGACUGUUAAUCGGACGGUUGUUGGUUCGAAUCCAACC